AUAGUGAUGGGUCAGUGGUAGAAUUCUUGCCUUCCACGCAGGAGACUUGGGUUCGAUCUCCAGUCAAUGUA
rnacentral:tRNA from 1 species